rnacentral:rRNA from 1 species
GACGAACGCUGGUGGCGUGCUUAACACAUGCAAGUCGAACGGAAAGGCCCUGCUUUUGUGGGGUGCUCGAGUGGCGAACGGGUGAGUAACACGUGAGUAACCUGCCCUUGACUUUGGGAUAACUUCAGGAAACUGGGGCUAAUACCGGAUAGGAGCUCCUGCUGCAUGGUGGGGGUUGGAAAGUUUCGGCGGUUGGGGAUGGACUCGCGGCUUAUCAGCUUGUUGGUGGGGUAGUGGCUUACCAAGGCUUUGACGGGUAGCCGGCCUGAGAGGGUGACCGGCCACAUUGGGACUGAGAUACGGCCCAGACUCCUACGGGAGGCAGCAGUGGGGAAUAUUGCACAAUGGGCGGAAGCCUGAUGCAGCAACGCCGCGUGCGGGAUGACGGCCUUCGGGUUGUAAACCGCUUUCGCCUGUGACGAAGCGUGAGUGACGGUAAUGGGUAAAGAAGCACCGGCUAACUACGUGCCAGCAGCCGCGGUGAUACGUAGGGUGCGAGCGUUGUCCGGAUUUAUUGGGCGUAAAGGGCUCGUAGGUGGUUGAUCGCGUCGGAAGUGUAAUCUUGGGGCUUAACCCUGAGCGUGCUUUCGAUACGGGUUGACUUGAGGAAGGUAGGGGAGAAUGGAAUUCCUGGUGGAGCGGUGGAAUGCGCAGAUAUCAGGAGGAACACCAGUGGCGAAGGCGGUUCUCUGGGCCUUUCCUGACGCUGAGGAGCGAAAGCGUGGGGAGCGAACAGGCUUAGAUACCCUGGUAGUCCACGCUGUAAACGGUGGGUACUAGGUGUGGGGUCCAUUCCACGGGUUCCGUGCCGUAGCUAACGCUUUAAGUACCCCGCCUGGGGAGUACGGCCGCAAGGCUAAAACUCAAAGGAAUUGACGGGGCCCCGCACAAGCGGCGGAGCAUGCGGAUUAAUUCGAUGCAACGCGUAGAACCUUACCUGGGUUUGACAUGGAUCGGGAGCGCUCAGAGAUGGGUGUGCCUCUUUUGGGGUCGGUUCACAGGUGGUGCAUGGCUGUCGUCAGCUCGUGUCGUGAGAUGUUGGGUUAAGUCCCGCAACGAGCGCAACCCUUGUUCACUGUUGCCAGCACGUUAUGGUGGGGACUCAGUGGAGACCGCCGGGGUCAACUCGGAGGAAGGUGGGGAUGACGUCAAGUCAUCAUGCCCCUUACGUCCAGGGCUUCACGCAUGCUACAAUGGCUGGUACAGAGAGUGGCGAGCCUGUGAGGGUGAGCGAAUCUCGGAAAGCCGGUCUCAGUUCGGAUUGGGGUCUGCAACUCGACCUCAUGAAGUCGGAGUCGCUAGUAAUCGCAGAUCAGCAACGCUGCGGUGAAUACGUUCCCGGG